rnacentral:rRNA from 1 species
UACGAAGGGGGCUAGCGUUGCUCGGAAUCACUGGCGUAAAGCGCACGUAGGCGGCUUUUUAAGUCAGGGGUGAAAUCCUGGAGCUCAACUCCAGAACUGCCUUUGAUACUGAGAGCUCGAGUCCGGGAGAGGUGAGUGGAACUGCGAGUGUAGAGGUGAAAUUCGUAGAUAUUCGCAAGAACACCAGUGGCGAAGGCGGCUCACUGGCCCGGUACUGACGCUGAGGUGCGAAAGCGUGGGGAGCAAACAGGAUUAGA